UGUAUGUAUUAAUCUACUUAAUUGAAAGGCUGUCAGAUCUUCCACCUGCUGGUUCACUCCUCAAAAGGCUGCAACAGCCAGGGCUGGGCCACGCUGAAGCCAGGAGCCAGGAGGAACUCCAUCUGGGUCUCCCACGUGGGUGGCAGGGGUCCCAAGCACUUGGGCCAUCUGCUUUCCUAGGUGCAUUAGCAGGGAGCUGCAUUGGAAGUGGAGAAGCUGGGUCUCGAACCAGCACUCUGAUACGGGGUGCCAGCAUGACAAGUGGCCGCUCAACCCACCCCAGCACUGGCCCCAGCCUAGGUAUUCUUGCAGUUCUGUCUAAUGCUCUGAGUGGCGUUCCGUGACCACGGACGUGGCAUUCCUGAGUCGUCUGCGUCUCAGGGAUUCCCAAUCUGGUUAAAAUGAUGCCUCUCUCUCAGAAUAAAUGACAGCUCGCCACUUAGAAGCAUUCAGCAGAUUUUUAUAAAAGAUUUUGCCUAUUUAUUUAAGGGCUGAGUUGGAGAGAGAGAGAUACCUGCCAUCUGCUGGUUCACUCCCCACAUGGUUGAAACAGCCAGGGCUGGGCUCACUGGAAGCCUGGAGCCUCAUCCAGGUCUCCCACGUGGGUGCAGGGGCCCAAGCGCUUGAGCCGUCCUCCGCUGCUCCCCCAGGCCAUUAGCAGGGAGCUGGAUCCGAAGUGGAGCAGCCCGGGCAGGAACCGGUACCCAUUUGGGAUGCUGGUCCCACAGGUGGCGGCUUUACUCACUACACCAUGGCGCCGGCCCCAGCAGACUUCUUUUUAAAAAAACCAAGUUACUCCAGUGGGAUGUCAGGAUUUUCUGUGGCUCCCACCGGUGUCUGCCUCUGCCCCUGGGGACACAGCUGUUGGGCCUCAUCCGUUCUUCUCGGCUCUUGGCUGUUACCACACCUGACCCGGGCGGGGCUGGGCUGGCAGUGUUCUGAGCACCUGGGAAUGAGGGUGUAGGACCCAGUGCGGCACAGGGAAGGAGAGGGCGGGAGGGGCCCGCGGCUUCCAGGCCGUCCUUGUCUGCCUGCUCUCUCUGUGUUCCCAAGCUCCGCUGAGAGCAGCCCGAGGUGCGGGUGUGGCUCUGGCUGCGUUAGUCCUGUGCUCCCAGCCUUCGGCUGUGCUCGGUGAGAUGAGGGGUGCCCGAGCAGGUUCAGUGAGCACCUUGGCUGAGGUCACCUUGGGCUGGCAGAGAAGGGCACCUGCCCUCCUGUGGCAAAGACGGGAAAUGGCUUUUGUGUCGCUCCUGGGGUAGCGCUCGCUCGGUGCGGCAGGCGCUGCUCUGAUUGGACGAGGCCAGGCCUGGAGCAGCGUCUGCGAUCGCGGCAGUGGGGAAGGGAGUGUUGCUAGGGGCAGGCGGCAGAGCCAGGAAGUUAAGUGUUUUGUCUCCCGCCACCCUCCUCCUCGCAGAUUCCGGGGAGGGGACUUCUGUGGACUGCUAGCUGACAACGGAAAACGCGUUUCAAGUCGAGUUUUAUCCUCAGCGGAUGCUUCUUGUGGACUGCGACUUAAAUAAAUGUCAGUUUCCUGACCUUCGGGUUGCUCCGUCCUUUUAAUUAAAAGGCGGUUCUAAGCAGCAUCCAGGAGGGGUCUAUUUAUUAUUUAUCAAGCAUUUUCCUUCCAGCAGUUAGCGAAAGGUCAGCGGCUUCGGUGGAUGCUUUGUUUUUGGUGAGCAGCUCAGAUGAAAAAGAUACUCGAUCCAUCUGGGCUCCCGCCCGCUGCCCGCGGCCAGGACACUGUUUAAUAGUCACUGUGGCAUUUAGAACCGCCGGCCUGGGAAACACGCAGCAAAGUGCGUGUGUCUCCCUUGCUGCCCAGCAUUUCUCCCAAAGUAAACAUCAGGUUGUGAUCAUGGUUAAUAAUGAGCUAUUGAUUGUCUGAAAUGUCACCGCCCGGGACGCAAAGGGACGCGGCACCGCUAGAUGGCGCUGCACCCCCGCGCUGCCCCACGCCGCGCGUUCCGUCCCCGCGCCUCGGGGCACCUUGCCUUUCAAGGUGGGGUUCCUUUAACAAAGACCUCUGCUGUGACUUCCUCGGUAAAGCCUGUGGUGUGUUCGGAUGCAAUGAGCAGAAUGCCGGAUGAGAGUCUGAGCAAGCAAGACAUUCAAUCAAGAAAUAGACUGGAGGCUGUGGCCACUUGGAGAGUUAACCAGUGGAUGAAAGAUCUCUCUCUGUCUCUCUCCCUCUCUCUCUCUCUGUCUCCUCCUCUUUCCUUAUAACUCUGACUUUCAAAUUAAUAAACAAAUAAACCUUUAAAAAGAAUGAAAGCCGCUUGAUCACCCUAACUCCAGUCCCUCAGGACUUCUGAGUUAGAAUCUCUUGGAUGAGAUCAGACCUUAGCAGUGACGUGGUAACCAUCUGCAGGGAUGACGCCAAUGCGUGCCAAAGUUUCCACUGGGUGCACGCUCCUGUGAAGCCAAAAGGGGGGUUCAAGGUGGAGGCCUCGAGGUGGAACUCACGUUCCGUCGCGCCCCAGGGUCAGGCAAU